AAAGCUAAAAAAAAACCUCUCUCUUCACUCUCACCAAAAAUUCAACGAAACCUCUUCAUCGCCUCCGCUAAAUCUCCCUCCAUCCGCCGAACCCUCCACCUUCAUCUUCAUUUCUUUUCAUCUCAGCCGCCAACAUCCACCAUCAAUCAACUCACCGUCAUUCCUCAUAACCCUCUCCGCCGCUAGCUACCACCUUCGCCUCUCAAAACCCCACCGCCGUCCAAAAUCCUCGAAUUAUUCUCCUCCAUUCGCGUUUCCGCCGUGCCCACCUUCCACGCACAACCAACACGUGAGCAGUAGUCUUGCUCCGCCGCUCAAGCAGUACUUCGACGAACAUUACAACCGAACCUUCGCCAAUCGCUGCCGCUGCUCCGUCGCUCGCCGGUAAUCUCACAACACCAACACAAAACCGAUUCGCUCACCACCACAAUCUUCCGGCGAAGCUGUUAUAUUCGUUUACGGUAUACUUCACACGCGUUAAUCUUGUUUCAAAUUUUCAACUACACGAAUACUACCUUCAGCAGCUUCCUCUUUUCAAUUUUGAUUUUUGGUUGGCAUUAUAUUUACCUUUAAUUUCUUUACUGUGUUAGUUUCAAUUUUUGAUGGCAUAAUCUCCAU
rnacentral:lncRNA from 1 species